GACCAAGGAGUCUAACAUGUGCGCGAGUCAUUGGGUCUUGAUUAGGCCCAAAGGCGUAAUGAAAGUGAAGGGCGGUUCGGCCGUCUGCCUUGGGAUCCCGUGGACCACGCGUUCGCGGGCGCACCAAGGGCCCGUCCCGGUCGCCUCGUCGACGGGGCGGAGCAAGAGCGUACACGUUGGGACCCGAAAGAUGGUGAACUAUGCCUGGGCAGGACGAAGCCAGAGGAAACUCUGGUGGAGGUCCGCAGCGAUUCUGACGUGCAAAUCGAUCGUCAGACCUGGGUAGGGGCGAAAGACUAAUCGAACCAUCUAGUAGCUGGUUCCCUCCGAAGUUUCCCUCAGGAUAGCUGGCGCUCGGAGGAUGCAGUCUCAUCCGGUAAAGCGAAUGAUUAGAGGCCUUGGGGUCGAAAAGACCUCAACCUAUUCUCAAACUUUAAAUGGGUGAGAAGUCCGGUUUGCUCGACUGAAGCCCGGACGGCAACUUGGAUGCGAGUGCCAAGUGGGCCACUUUUGGUAAGCAGAACUGGCGCUGUGG
rnacentral:rRNA from 1 species